rnacentral:rRNA from 1 species
UUUAAGUUUGACCCCCCGAAACUAAGUGAGCUACUUCAAAAUAGCCUUAAGGGCCAACCCAUCCCUGUUGCAAAAGAGUGGGAAAAUUUUCAAGUAGAGGUGAUACACCUACCGAACUUAGAGAUAGCUGGUUAUUCAGGAAAAGGAUUUAGUCCAACUUUAAAAUUUCUUUAUACCACCAGAUAUCUUACUUCUUUUAAAGUUUAUUCAAAUAAGGUACAGCCUAUUUGAAACAGGGUACAACCUAUUAAGCAGGGUAAUGCUAACUUUACAUGACUAAGUUGGCCUAAGAACAGCCACCUUUCAAAAAACGUUACAGCUUCAUCAUGAUUAAUAUUUAAUUAUGUUAAAACCCCAAACCCGCCACAACUACUGAAUGACUCCAUAAUUAUAUGGAAGACUUUAUAUUAAAACUAGUAAUAAGAAUAAAUUCUCCACAAAGUAUGUGUAAGCCGAAAUGAACUACUCACCGGCACUUACCGUCAAUGAAUAAUUAGUAAUAACCUCACAAGAAAAUCUUACUUUACAAAACGUUAACCUUACACUAGAUCCUUACUGGAAGAUUAAAAAAAAGGGAAGGAACUCGGCAAAAAUUAACUCCGCCUG